UCCAGCUCCCCGAGUGGUCGGGACGAUUAUUGGGCCUAAAGCAUCCGUAGCCGGUUCUGUAGGUCUUAUGUUAAAAUCAAUUGCUUAACAAUUGAACUGCAUGAGAUACCACAAAACUAGGAGGCGGGAGAGGUGGACGGUACUCCACGGGUAGGGGUAAAAUCCUCUGAACCAUGGAAGACCACCAGUGGCGAAGGCGGUCCACCAGAACGCGUCGACGGUGAGGGAUGAAAGCUGGGGUAGCGAACCGGAUUAGAUACCCGGGUAGUCCCAGCUGUAAACGAUGCAAGCUAGGUGAUGCAUUAGCAAUGUGUUAAUGCAGUGCCGCAGGGAAGCCGUUAAGCUUGCCGCCUGGGGAGUACGGUCGCAAGGCUGAAACUUAAAGGAAUUGGCGGGGGAGCACCACAAGGGGUGAAGCCUGCGGUUCAAUUGGAGUCAACGCCGG
rnacentral:rRNA from 1 species